rnacentral:rRNA from 1 species
UGGGGAAUAUUGCACAAUGGGCGCAAGCCUGAUGCAGCCAUGCCGCGUGUAUGAAGAAGGAAUUAGGGUUGUAAAGUAAUUUCAGAGAGGAGGAAGGUGGUAAGGUUAAUAACCUUAUCGAUUGACGUUACUCGCAGAAGAAGCACCGGCUAACUCCGUGCCAGCAGCCGCGGUAAUACGGAGGGUGCAAGCGUUAAUCGGAAUUACUGGGCGUAAAGCGCACGCAGGCGGUCUGUCAAGUCGGAUGUGAAAUCCCCAGGCUCAACCUGGGAACUGCAUUCGAAACUGGCAGGCUAGAGUCUUGUAGAGGGGGGUAGAAUUCCAGGUGUAGCGGUGAAAUGCGUAGAGAUCUGGAGGAAUACCGGUGGCGAAGGCGGCCCCCUGGACAAAGACUGACGCUCAGGUGCGAAAGCGUGGGGAGCAAACA